rnacentral:rRNA from 1 species
UACGAAGGGGGGCUAGCGUUGCUCGGAAUCACUGGGCGUAAAGCGCACGUAGGCGGCUUUCUAAGUCAGGGGUGAAAUCCCAGAGCUCAACUCCAGAACUGCCUUCGAUACUGGGAAUCUUGAGUCCGGAAGAGGUGAGUGGAACUGCGAGUGUAGAGGUGAAAUUCGUAGAUAUUCGCAAGAACACCAGUGGCGAAGGCGGCUCACUGGUCCGGUACUGACGCUGAGGUGCGAAAGCGUGGGGAGCAAACAGG